rnacentral:lncRNA from 1 species
CGCGCGCGCGGUGUGUGUUUAUUUACCCCGCGGGUUAAACUGUCACUCUGAGGGUCUCCUACCUGUUUACCCGGCUCCUCCUGGGCUGGGGACGGGGUGCCCACUCCGGACGAUGCCGUAGGAGAAGCCAUGAGGCUGAGUCACUUACUUCUGUGUUGAUAUACGCAAAGCAAUUGAGCCGCAAGGAAAUUCAGAGUCAGGAAUGCUGUGGGGGUGCUGCUGGACAGUCAGGCAGACAGACGAGAACGAGAGACACCUAAGAGAACUGUGUAACAGUUGUGUCAGAUGUCUGAAUGCAUCGAGUGUGACUGGGCUGGCCUACUUUUUAUCCCGCUCCUGCUAUGAUUCAAC